GCUGGUGUCGCAUAGUGGCCGAUUGCACCUGCCUUGUAAGCAGGAGGGAAACCCACGCCUGUUCGAAUCAGGCCACCAGCUCCA
rnacentral:tRNA from 1 species